rnacentral:rRNA from 1 species
AUUGAACGCUGGCGGCAUGCUUUACACAUGCAAGUCGAACGGUAACACGCGGCCAGGUCCUGUCGCGUGGGGCACGGGGGUGUAAAGCACCGGAAAGCGCGCCCGCUUGGGGGGUAAAUCGUAGCAAGAGUAACUAAUAUACCACACGCGCUAUGAGUGAGAGAGGGGGACAGUAUGGCCCCGCGCGCUUGGAGCGGCCGAUGUCAGAUUAGGUAGUUGGUGGGGUAAAGGCGCACCAAGCCCACGAUCUGUAGCUGGUCUGAGAGGACGACCAGCCACACUGGGACUGAGACACGGCCCAGACUCCUACGGGAGGCAGCAGUGGGGAAUUUUGGACAAUGGGCGCAAGCCUGAUCCAGCAAUGCCGCGUGCAGGACGAAGGCCUUCGGGUUGUAAACUGCUUUUGUACGGAACGAAACGGCUCUGGCUAAUACCUGGGGCUAAUGACGGUACCGUAAGAAUAAGCACCGGCUAACUACGUG